UGCGUAGGCGGCAUAUUAAGUUGGAUGUGAAAUGCCCGGGCUUAACUUGGGACUUGCAUUCAAAACUGGUAAGCUAGAGUACAGGAGAGGAAAGCGGAAUUCCUAGUGUAGCGGUGAAAUGCGUAGAUAUUAGGAGGAACACCGGUGGCGAAGGCGGCUUUCUGGACUGAAACUGACGCUGAGGCACGAAAGCGUGGGGAGCAAACAG
rnacentral:rRNA from 1 species